CCUACGGGAGGCAGCAGUGAGGAAUAUUGGUCAAUGGGCGCGAGCCUGAACCAGCCAAGUCGCGUGAAGGAAGACGGUCCUAUGUAUUGUAAACCUCUUUUGUCGGGGAACAAAAGCCGACACGCGUCUCGUUCCGAGAGUACCCGAAGAAAAAGCAUCGGCUAACUCCGUGCCAGCAGCCGCGGUAAUACGGAGGAUGCGAGCGUUAUCCGGAUUUAUUGGGUUUAAAGGGUGCGCAGGCGGCAGAUCAAGUCAGCGGUAAAAUUUCGAGGCUCAACCCCGUCGAGCCGUUGAAACUGGUUGUCUAGAGUGGGCGAGAAGUAUGCGGAAUGCGUGGUGUAGCGGUGAAAUGCAUAGAUAUCACGCAGAACUCCGAUUGCGAAGGCAGCAUACCGGCGCUAUACUGACGCUGAGGCACGAAAGUGUGGGGAUCGAACAGGAUUAGAUACCCGGGUAGUC
rnacentral:rRNA from 1 species